ensembl:lncRNA
UGCAGUUUUUUGAUAUACCUGUACAUUGGCAAGAAAAACUUUGUGAACCCUUUGUGAAUGUAUAAAUUUGUCUUAAAAUCCGGUUUGAUCUUCAUCUAAGUUACUAUAAUCAACAAACACAACCGGUUUCAACUAAUAACGCACAAUUUAUCGUAUUGUUCUUGUGCAUACUCAAUAUUUCAUUCAAAUAUUCACAGUAUAUGUUGGAAAAAGUAUGUGAACCCCUAGGCUAAUGACGUCGACGAAAGCUAAUUAGAGUGGGAAGUUGAUGACCCUGGCGUCCAAUCAAUGAGCCUGGAGGUGUGUGAAACAUUAGAGUUUGUUCUUCACAAGAAACAUCUGCUGAUGUGAACCAUACCUUGCAAAAAGACAUCUCAGAAGACCUACGAUCAAGAUAUUGCUGCCAAAGGAGGAUCAACCAGCCAUUAACUCCAAGUGUUCACUCACUUUUUCCACAGCACUGUGAACAUCUAAUGGGAUGUGUUCAAUAAAGACAUAAAAGAUUAUAAACGUUUGAGUGUCGUUAUCAUAGCUUAAGCAAAGCUUGUGACUUUGAUGAAGAUCACAUGAGAUCACAUUCCAUGUCCUCUUUUUCUCAGCCAUACAAAGCUCCAAACUCUUCAACUUUUAAAACGUUUUUUUUCUCUACAAAUGACAUUGCUACUAGUUUUAUAGCCAGUAGCUAUGACGUAGCUAUAGUUUUUAGCCAGUAGCUAUAUUUUUUAGCCAGUAGCUAUGAAGUAGCUAUAGUUUUUAGCCAGUAGCUAUAGUUUUGAGCCAGUAGCUAUGAAGUAGCUAUAGUUUUUAGCCAGUAGCUAUGAAGUAGCUAUAGUUUUUAGCCAGUAGCUAUAGUUUUUAGCCAGUAGCUAUGAAGUAGCUAUAGUUUUUAGCCAGUAGCUAUAGUUUCUAGCCAGUAGCUAUGAUGUAGCUAUAGUUUUUAGCCAGUAGCUAUAGUUUCUAGCCAGUAGCUAUGAUGUAGCUAUAGUUUUUAGCCAGUAGCUAUGAAGUAGCUAUAGCUUUUAGCCAGUAGCUAUGAAGUAGCUAUAGUUUCUAGCCAGUAGCUAUGACGUAGCUAUAGUUUUUAUCCAGUAGCUAUAGUUUUUAGCCAGUAGCUAUGAAGUAGCUAUAGUUUCUAGCCAGUAGCUAUGACGUAGCUACAGUUUUUAGCCAGUUGCUAUAGUUUUUAGCCAGCAACUAUGAAGUAGCUAUAGUUUUUAGCCAGUGGCUAUGAAGUAGCUAUAGUUUCUAGCCAGUAGCUAUGACGUAGCUAUAGUUUUGAGCCAGUAGCUAUGAAGUAGCUAUAGUUUUUAGCCAGUAGCUAUGAAGUAGCUAUAGUUUUUAGCCAGUAGCUAUGAAGUAGCUAUAGUUUUUAGCCAGUAGCUAUGAUGUAGCUAUAGUUUUUAGCCAG